rnacentral:rRNA from 1 species
GACGAACGCUGGCGGCGUGCCUAACACAUGCAAGUCGAGCGGGGUCCAACCGGUGGCAACACCGGGGAAACCUAGCGGCGAACGGGUGAGGAACACGUGAGGAACCUGCCCCGAAGUCUGGGAUAACACCGGGAAACCGGUGCUAACACCGGAUGUCCUCCUCUUGGCGCAUGCCGGGAAGAGGAAAGGUUACGCUUCGGGAGGGCCUCGCGGCCUAUCAGCUUGUUGGCGGGGUAACGGCCCACCAAGGCUA